rnacentral:rRNA from 1 species
AUUGAACGCUGGCGGCAUGCCUUACACAUGCAAGUCGAACGGCAGCACGGGUGCUUGCACCUGGUGGCGAGUGGUGAACGGGUGAGUAAUACAUCGGAACAUGUCCUGUAGUGGGGGAUAGCCCGGCGAAAGCCGGAUUAAUACCGCAUACGAUCUACGGAUGAAAGCGGGGGACCUUCGGGCCUCGCGCUAUAGGGUUGGCCGAUGGCUGAUUAGCUAGUUGGUGGGGUAAAGGCCUACCAAGGCGACGAUCAGUAGCUGGUCUGAGAGGACGACCAGCCACACUGGGACUGAGACACGGCCCAGACUCCUACGGGAGGCAGCAGUGGGGAAUUUUGGACAAUGGGCGAAAGCCUGAUCCAGCAAUGCCGCGUGUGUGAAGAAGGCCUUCGGGUUGUAAAGCACUUUUGUCCGGAAAGAAAUCCUUGGCCCUAAUACGGUCGGGGGAUGACGGUACCGGAAGAAUAAGCACCGGCUAACUACGUG